UUACCUAAUUAAUCGGGCACACCUACAUAUAUCAUGGCAGCAUAUGUUUGCACCACCGAACAUUUUGCUCUUGUUGAAUCGAUCAUGUCCGCAACUAGAAAUACCAAGUUGUGGACAUAGGUGAUGCCUUGCUGACUAAUGAUAAUUUAGAAUGUAUUACAUGCGACGAUGGAUUCUUAUCCAACCAUAGUCAACAAUGGACCACUAUUUUACACAUUAAUGUCUAAAUUUUUCUUAAUUUAAAUGUAUUUACGUGUCCAAUUAUAGAUGAUAAAUACGUAUAUAUAUUGUAUGUGGGCAUGUGCAAGAAUGAGUGUGAAGCUCCAAACCUUAUCCACUAGGGUUAACUCUAAAGCAAAUUCAAGACAUACUCAGGAUGGACCAGCCUAUGGACAAGCAUAAUUUCAACAUGGUUGUGCACGUAGUGGCAUGCGGCAAGAUACAAUUAUUGAUAGAGCCUCAUGUGCACAACAUGGACUGAUUUUGUAUUUAUUUGCCACACGCAUUAGUUGGGGACUUCAUCUUGUUCACCAUCGACAAACAUGAGCGUCGUGUAUCUAUUUUGGACCCCUUUUCUGAACUUCUAUCAAAAUAGAGGUACAAUUAAAAUUACAAAGGUACUCGUUGUAUCUAAAUUACGCUCUUGAAAUAGCACAAACUGGAUGGAUAUCUGAUAUUUAUUUUUGGCCACAGAAAUACCCUCACAGUAUUUCAAUACCAACAAGCCCCAACAUGUGAUUUCUGUGGUUAUCAUUAUAAUACAUUUAUUUUAUUAUUGUUCUAAUGACUAAGAUAAUAAUAUUUUUCAUUUAUUUGCAGAAAUUUGUCUGGUUAGUUAGUACUAUUUACUUUUAUGCUUUCAUAGGAUGGUAAAAGAUGUGUUCAUCCAAUUUGCACCGAUGGUUACGAGUUGAGAAAGAAUUUUUUUGAUACACAUACUCAAGUACCUUGCAAAUGAAGUUGAAGACAACAUUCCUAAUGUUGUGCGAGCAUAUCUUAGUCGCACCACGGGCACAUGGCUUUAAUAAAUAAUAUAGGUAGUAAUGUGGUGGUCGUUGCAUUUUAUACUCAUUACACUGAAUUAUGUGAUGAAACCUUUAGAUAUUUUAAAUAUUAUGUGAUUAUUUUUUAUGUACUUAAAUGUUUACGUGUGUUAUCUACACGUAUAAUAUGUGUAACACUAUGCAUAAAG